GGGGUUGUAGCUCAGUGGUUGAGCACUUCACAUGUGUGAGGCACUGGGUUCGAUCCUCAGCAACACAU
rnacentral:tRNA from 1 species